CAAUGGGGAACGCCACUUCAUACUCCUUGGGAGGCACCGAGCUCCGUCGUCUCGUUUCCGGCGGUCGCGCGCUCUUUUCUCGGGACGGUAGAGGCCGUGUAGCGUCUCCGUUACUCUGAGGAAAGAACCGUCGGUAGAGGAGAAUUGGAGGUUAGGACUGGGAGGUACUUGGCCAUCCUCAAAAGUUGAGUACAAAAAUGCAGAGCAAUAAAACUUUUAACUUGGAGAAGCAAAACCCA